rfam:Triticum aestivum genome assembly, contig: Triticum_aestivum_CS42_TGACv1_scaffold_542528_6DS
AUUAUACUCCCUCCGUCCGAAAAUACUCGUCAGAGGAAUGGAUGUAUGUAGAUGUAUUUUAGUUCUAGAUACAUUCAUUUUUGUGCAUCACUUCGACAAGUAUUUCCGGAUGGAGGGAGUAUAUA